CGGGCAUUUUCGUGAUUUGGGCUA
rnacentral:siRNA from 1 species